rnacentral:tRNA from 1 species
GGAAAUGUGCCUGAACUAAAGGAUCACUUUGAUAGAGUGAAUUAUGAAAGUUAAAGCCUCUCCAUUUCCU